rnacentral:rRNA from 1 species
UCGGGAAUAUUGCGCAAUGGAGGAAACUCUGACGCAGUGACGCCGCGUAUAGGAAGAAGGUUUUCGGAUUGUAAACUAUUGUCAUCAGGGAAGAUAAAAGACAGUACCUGAGGAGGAAGCUCCGGCUAACUAUGUGCCAGCAGCCGCGGUAAUACAUAGGGAGCAAGCGUUAUCCGGAUUUAUUGGGUGUAAAGGGUGCGUAGACGGGAAAGCAAGUUAGUUGUGAAAUCCCUCGGCUUAACUGAGGAACUGCAACUAAAACUACUUCCCUUGAGUGCUGGAGAGGAAAGUGGAAUUCCUAGUGUAGCGGUGAAAUGCGUAGAUAUUAGGAGGAACACCAGUGGCGAAGGCGACUUUCUGGACAGUAACUGACGUUGAGGCACGAAAGUGUGGGGAGCAAACAGG